GAUGAACGCUGGCGGCGUGCUUAACACAUGCAAGUCGAACGGAAAGGCCAGUGCUUGCACUGGUACUCGAGUGGCGAACGGGUGAGUAACACGUGGGUGAUCUGCCCUGUACUUCGGGAUAAGCUUGGGAAACUGGGUCUAAUACCGGAUAGGACAACUUUUUGGAUAUUGUUGUGGAAAGCCUUUGCGGUAUGGGAUGAGCUCGCGGCCUAUCAGCUUGUUGGUGGGGUAAUGGCCUACCAAGGCGUCGACGGGUAGCCGGCCUGAGAGGGUGUACGGCCACAUUGGGACUGAGAUACGGCCCAGACUCCUACGGGAGGCAGCAGUGGGGAAUAUUGCACAAUGGGCGCAAGCCUGAUGCAGCGACGCCGCGUGGGGGAUGAAGGCCUUCGGGUUGUAAACUCCUUUCGCUAGGGACGAAGCUUUUUUGUGACGGUACCUGGAGAAGAAGCACCGGCUAACUACGUG
rnacentral:rRNA from 1 species